CGGGGGGAUCCCAGAGAGCACAACAUGGCAAUCACGAAAAUAUGUUGGUGUCAUUUCUCGGUCUUCAAAAAUGACGGACACUGCUGGUCGCUGUGGCUUCCUCCUACGCGUUCGGUCACUCCUGCACAUGUCCGCAGUAGUGGUGCUCUCGGGGACCCCCUCGCCACCCCACAAUACCGCUCACCACAUGGCCAAACAGGCUGAAUUCCUAGAAGACAGGAAUUUAUGGUGUGAGAGCUCCAGUCCCCGCAGACCCACUGCCAAGGUCAACAGCACGAGGCGGGCAUCCCUGCCAAGUGGGGAGUGGAGUCGUGGCUUUAGGAGUUGGUUGCAAGGAAAAACCAAAGUACGUGCAUUAAAAAAGAAAAAAAAAAAAAAGAA
rnacentral:lncRNA from 1 species